rnacentral:rRNA from 1 species
GAUGAACGCUGGCGGCGUGCCUAAUACAUGCAAGUCGAGCGAACGGACGAGAAGCUUGCUUUUCUGAUGUUAGCGGCGGACGGGUGAGUAACACGUGGAUAACCUACCUAUAAGACUGGGAUAACUUCGGGAAACCGGAGCUAAUACCGGAUAAUAUUUUGAACCGCAUGGUUCAAAAGUGAAAGACGGUCUUGCUGUCACUUAUAGAUGGAUCCGCGCUGCAUUAGCUAGUUGGUAAGGUAACGGCUUACCAAGGCAACGAUGCAUAGCCGACCUGAGAGGGUGAUCGGCCACACUGGAACUGAGACACGGUCCAGACUCCUACGGGAGGCAGCAGUAGGGAAUCUUCCGCAAUGGGCGAAAGCCUGACGGAGCAACGCCGCGUGAGUGAUGAAGGUCUUCGGAUCGUAAAACUCUAUUAUUAGGGAAGAACAUAUGUGUAAGUAACUGCGCACAUCUUGACGGUACCUAAUCAGAAAGCCACGGCUAACUACGUG